AGAGUUUGAUCCUGGCUCAGAUUGAACGCUGGCGGCAUGCCUUACACAUGCAAGUCGAACGGCAGCACGAGAGCUUGCUCUUGGUGGCGAGUGGCGAACGGGUGAGUAAUAUAUCGGAACGUACCCUAGAGUGGGGGAUAACGUAGCGAAAGUUACGCUAAUACCGCAUACGAUCUACGGAUGAAAGUGGGGGAUCGCAAGACCUCAUGCUCAUGGAGCGGCCGAUAUCUGACUAGCUAGUUGGUGGGGUAAAAGCUCACCAAGGCGACGAUCAGUAGCUGGUCUGAGAGGACGACCAGCCACACUGGAACUGAGACACGGUCCAGACUCCUACGGGAGGCAGCAGUGGGGAAUUUUGGACAAUGGGCGCAAGCCUGAUCCAGCAAUGCCGCGUGAGUGAAGAAGGCCUUCGGGUUGUAAAGCUCUUUUGUCAGGGAAGAAACGGUGGACUCUAAUACAGAUCACUAAUGACGGUACCUGAAGAAUAAGCACCGGCUAACUACGUGCCAGCAGCCGCGGUAAUACGUAGGGUGCAAGCGUCAAUCGGAAUUACUGGGCGUAAAGCGUGCGCAGGCGGUUGUGCAAGACAGAUGUGAAAUCCCCGGGCUCAACCUGGGAAUUGUAUUUGUGACUGCACGGCUAGAGUGUGUCAGAGGGGGGUAGGAUUCCACGUGUAGCAGUGAAAUGCGUAGAGAUGUGGAGGAAUACCGAUGGCGAAGGCAGCCCCCUGGGAUAACACUGACGCUCAUGCACGAAAGCGUGGGGAGCAAACAGGAUUAGAUACCCUGGUAGUCCACGCCCUAAACGAUGUCUACUAGUUGUUGGGUCUUAAUUGACUUGGUAACGCAGCUAACGCGUGAAGUAGACCGCCUGGGGAGUACGGUCGCAAGAUUAAAACUCAAAGGAAUUGACGGGGACCCGCACAAGCGGUGGAUGAUGUGGAUUAAUUCGAUGCAACGCGAAAAACCUUACCUACCCUUGACAUGUCUGGAAUCCUUGAGAGAUCAGGGAGUGCUCGAAAGAGAAUCAGAACACAGGUGCUGCAUGGCUGUCGUCAGCUCGUGUCGUGAGAUGUUGGGUUAAGUCCCGCAACGAGCGCAACCCUUGUCAUUAGUUGCUACGAAAGGGCACUCUAAUGAGACUGCCGGUGACAAACCGGAGGAAGGUGGGGAUGACGUCAAGUCCUCAUGGCCCUUAUGGGUAGGGCUUCACACGUCAUACAAUGGUACAUACAGAGGGCCGCCAACCCGCGAGGGGGAGCUAAUCCCAGAAAGUGUAUCGUAGUCCGGAUUGUAGUCUGCAACUCGACUACAUGAAGUUGGAAUCGCUAGUAAUCGCGGAUCAGCAUGUCGCGGUGAAUACGUUCCCGGGUCUUGUACACACCGCCCGUCACACCAUGGGAGCGGGUUUCACCAGAAGUGGGUAGCCUAACCGCAAGGAGGGCGCUCACCACGGUGGGAUUCGUGACUGGGGUGAAGUCGUAACAAGGUA
rnacentral:rRNA from 1 species